GAUAGAAGUUAGAGAUCAAUUAGAGGUAAAGAGCAUGAGUGCAGGGGAUGUUGAGAUUGACCUCAGGUGAAAAAAAAAAAAAAAAAAAAAGAGAGAGAGAUUGACCUCAGGUUGCUGAAGUAGGUAAGCAUGGAUAGAGUGAUAGAAUGACAGAUUUGGGAGAAGGAGGACAUGCCUGGUCUUUAUUAUUUGGAGUUUGAAUAAUUGUUGAGGAUUUAGGGUCCCAGUAAAUAAAAUCUCCCUUACUUGAGCUUGGAAUCCAUUGAUAAAUAAAUGGAGGUGUCAGCCAGUUGGAAAUGUGUGAGAUAUUGAUAGGAGUUCUACGGGAAGAUGGGGCUUAGAAGGAGAUUCAGGUGUGCUCAUCAAUAUGUCCUCUUGCUUUGCAUGGCCCAGAGAGCAAGCGAGAACCUAGAAUCUCUGCAAACACAGGAGCUCCAAGGAGGACUCAGCAGAGCUGGAGCCCCAUGUGGUCUAUUGUUUCUGCACAAGCUCACCAAUCACAGCAAGUGUGAGAAGGCAGAGAGAAGUGAGGAUGGGUGCUGGACAGGGAGGCUCAUCACCUGUAGCCAGAGGCGAAUAAGGAGCAUCUUUACAAUAUCAGCAAUUGAAACUGAUAUGAAUGAAGACAAGAAUGAUGACUGCAUAUUUCUUCGGAAUGCAAUUUCCAAACUGGACAUGAGUCCAGGGGAAUGGAACAAAACCCUAACCAUCCCAACGCCUGCAUGUGGGAAUCUCAGUGCCAAGCACUUCAUUAUGCAAAUGUAGAUUUCGCCGGACUCACUCUUCAAAAACAAUCAACCCAGUUUGAUGAUACUCCUCUCAGCUGAAGCCAUCAUAAUUCAGUUGCCCUUGGUUUUGUAGACCUAUUCUCCAACCUUCAAUUAUUUCCACUACUCUCAUUUGAGUAUUCUCAAAUUUCCAUCUUGUUACAAACAUGAUCAUCUGUGGUAAUGAUUAUUUUAGAAGCUGCAUUUCUCAUUGUCAGUCUGAUCGUUCUUACAUGUAUGUAAGCUUUUUUUUUUUUUUUUUUUUCAAAUUAUCUCAGUUAAAUUAAAUCAUCCUUGGGGAAAUAAAAACAAACUAUUUUUUUUCCACUGACUCAAUACUGUCUACUUGAUUCCUUUAUUCCUACCAUCAUCUUUCAAGAAGCUGG
rnacentral:lncRNA from 1 species